rnacentral:rRNA from 1 species
AUUGAACGCUGGCGGCAGGCUUAACACAUGCAAGUCGAACGAUGAAGAUAUAGCUUGCUAUAUCGGAUUAGUGGCGGACGGGUGAGUAACACUUAGGAAUCUACCUUUUAGCGGGGGAUAGCUCGGGGAAACUCGAAUUAAUACCGCAUAAUUUCUACGGAAUAAAGAGGGCUUUUAGCUCUCACUAGAAGAUGAGCCUAAGUAAGAUUAGCUAGUUGGUGGGGUAAAAGCCUACCAAGGCGACGAUCUUUAGCUGGUCUGAGAGGAUGAUCAGCCACACUGGGACUGAGACACGGCCCAGACUCCUACGGGAGGCAGCAGUGGGGAAUAUUGGACAAUGGGGGCAACCCUGAUCCAGCCAUGCCGCGUGUGUGAAGAAGGCCUUUUGGUUGUAAAGCACUUUAAGCAGUGAAGAAGACCUAUUGAUUAAUACCCAAUAGCGAUGACAUUAACUGCAGAAUAAGCACCGGCUAACUCUGUGCCAGCAGCCGCGGUAAUACAGAGGGUGCAAGCGUUAAUCGGAAUUACUGGGCGUAAAGCGAGCGUAGGUGGUUAAAUAAGUCAGAUGUGAAAGCCCUGGGCUCAACCUAGGAACGGCAUCUGAAACUAUUUAACUAGAGUAGGUGAGAGGGAAGUAGAAUUUCAGGUGUAGCGGUGAAAUGCGUAGAGAUCUGAAGGAAUACCGAUGGCGAAGGCAGCUUCCUGGCAUCAUACUGACACUGAGGCUCGAAAGCGUGGGUAGCAAACAGG